AACGAACGCUGGCGGCAGGCCUAACACAUGCAAGUCGAGCGGGCAUCCUUCGGGAUGUUAGCGGCGGACGGGUGAGUAACGCGUGGGAACGUGCCCUUUGCUACGGAAUAGCCUCGGGAAACUGAGAGUAAUACCGUAUGUGCCCUUCGGGGGAAAGAUUUAUCGGCAAAGGAUCGGCCCGCGUUGGAUUAGGUAGUUGGUGGGGGUAAUGGCCUACCAAGCCGACGAUCCAUAGCUGGUUUGAGAGGAUGAUCAGCCACACUGGGACUGAGACACGGCCCAGACUCCUACGGGAGGCAGCAGUGGGGAAUCUUAGACAAUGGGGGAAACCCUGAUCUAGCCAUGCCGCGUGAGCGAUGAAGGCCUUAGGGUUGUAAAGCUCUUUCAGUGGGGAAGAUAAUGACGGUACCCACAGAAGAAGCCCCGGCUAACUCCGUG
rnacentral:rRNA from 1 species